rnacentral:rRNA from 1 species
GGUUAAGUUAGAAAGGGCGCACGGUGGAUGCCUUGACACUAGGAGUCGAUGAAGGACGGGACUAACGCCGAUAUGCUUCGGGGAGCUGUAAGUAAGCUUUGAUCCGAAGAUUUCCGAAUGGGGAAACCCACCAUACGUAAUGGUAUGGUAUCCUUAUCUGAAUACAUAGGGUAAGGAAGACAGACCCAGGGAACUGAAACAUCUAAGUACCUGGAGGAAGAGAAAGCAAAUGCGAUUUCCUGAGUAGCGGCGAGCGAAACGGAACAUAGCCCAAACCAAGAGGCUUGCCUCUUGGGGUUGUAGGACAUUCUAUACGGAGUUACAAAGGAACGAGGUAGACGAAGCGACCUGGAAAGGUCCGUCGUAGAGGGUAACAACCCCGUAGUCGAAACUUCGUUCUCUCUUGAAUGUAUCCUGAGUACGGCGGAACACGUGAAAUUCCGUCGGAAUCUGGGAGGACCAUCUCCCAAGGCUAAAUACUCCCUAGUGAUCGAUAGUGAACCAGUACCGUGAGGGAAAGGUGAAAAGCACCCCGGAAGGGGAGUGAAAGAGAUCCUGAAACCGUGUGCCUACAAAUAGUCAGAGCCCGUUAAUGGGUGAUGGCGUGCCUUUUGUAGAAUGAACCGGCGAGUUACGAUCCCGUGCGAGGUUAAGCUGAAGAGGCGGAGCCGCAGCGAAAGCGAGUCUGAAUAGGGCGUUUAGUACGUGGUCGUAGACCCGAAACCAGGUGAUCUACCCAUGUCCAGGGUGAAGUUCAGGUAACACUGAAUGGAGGCCCGAACCCACGCACGUUGAAAAGUGCGGGGAUGAGGUGUGGGUAGCGGAGAAAUUCCAAUCGAACCUGGAGAUAGCUGGUUCUCCCCGAAAUAGCUUUAGGGCUAGCCUUAAGUGUAAGAGUCUUGGAGGUAGAGCACUGAUUGGACUAGGGGUCCUCAUCGGAUUACCGAAUUCAGUCAAACUCCGAAUGCCAAUGACUUAUUCUUAGGAGUCAGACUGCGAGUGAUAAGAUCCGUAGUCAAAAGGGAAACAGCCCAGACCGCCAGCUAAGGUCCCAAAGUGUGUAUUAAGUGGAAAAGGAUGUGGAGUUGCUUAGACAACUAGGAUGUUGGCUUAGAAGCAGCCACCAUUUAAAGAGUGCGUAAUAGCUCACUAGUCGAGUGACUCUGCGCCGAAAAUGUACCGGGGCUAAAUACACCACCGAAGCUGCGGAUUGAUACCAAUGGUAUCAGUGGUAGGGGAGCGUUCUAAGGACAGUGAAGUCAGACCGGAAGGACUGGUGGAGUGCUUAGAAGUGAGAAUGCCGGUAUGAGUAGCGAAAGACGGGUGAGAAUCCCGUCCACCGAAUGCCUAAGGUUUCCUGAGGAAGGCUCGUCCGCUCAGGGUUAGUCAGGACCUAAGCCGAGGCCGACAGGCGUAGGCGAUGGACAACAGGUUGAUAUUCCUGUACCACCUCUUUAUCGUUUGAGCAAUGGAGGGACGCAGAAGGAUAGAAGAAGCGUGCGAUUGGUUGUGCACGUCCAAGCAGUUAGGCUGAUAAGUAGGCAAAUCCGCUUAUCGUAAAGGCUGAGCUGUGAUGGGGAAGCUCCUUAUGGAGCGAAGUCUUUGAUUCCCCGCUGCCAAGAAAAGCUUCUAGCGAGAUAAAAGGUGCCUGUACCGCAAACCGACACAGGUAGGCGAGGAGAGAAUCCUAAGGUGUGCGAGAGAACUCUGGUUAAGGAACUCGGCAAAAUGACCCCGUAACUUCGGGAGAAGGGGUGCUUUCUUAACGGAAAGCCGCAGUGAAUAGGCCCAAGCGACUGUUUAGCAAAAACACAGCUCUCUGCGAAGCCGUAAGGCGAAGUAUAGGGGGUGACACCUGCCCGGUGCUGGAAGGUUAAGGAGAGGGGUUAGCGUAAGCGAAGCUCUGAACUGAAGCCCCAGUAAACGGCGGCCGUAACUAUAACGGUCCUAAGGUAGCGAAAUUCCUUGUCGGGUAAGUUCCGACCCGCACGAAAGGUGUAACGAUUUGGGCACUGUCUCAACCAGAGACUCGGUGAAAUUAUAGUACCUGUGAAGAUGCAGGUUACCCGCGACAGGACGGAAAGACCCCGUGGAGCUUUACUGUAGCCUGAUAUUGAAUUUUGGUACAGUUUGUACAGGAUAGGCGGGAGCCAUUGAAACCGGAGCGCUAGCUUCGGUGGAGGCGCUGGUGGGAUACCGCCCUGACUGUAUUGAAAUUCUAACCUACGGGUCUUAUCGACCCGGGAGACAGUGUCAGGUGGGCAGUUUGACUGGGGCGGUCGCCUCCUAAAGUGUAACGGAGGCGCCCAAAGGUUCCCUCAGAAUGGUUGGAAAUCAUUCGUAGAGUGCAAAGGCAUAAGGGAGCUUGACUGCGAGACCUACAAGUCGAGCAGGGACGAAAGUCGGGCUUAGUGAUCCGGUGGUUCCGCAUGGAAGGGCCAUCGCUCAACGGAUAAAAGCUACCCCGGGGAUAACAGGCUUAUCUCCCCCAAGAGUCCACAUCGACGGGGAGGUUUGGCACCUCGAUGUCGGCUCAUCGCAUCCUGGGGCUGUAGUCGGUCCCAAGGGUUGGGCUGUUCGCCCAUUAAAGCGGUACGCGAGCUGGGUUCAGAACGUCGUGAGACAGUUCGGUCCCUAUCCGUCGUGGGCGUAGGAAAUUUGAGAGGAGCUGUCCUUAGUACGAGAGGACCGGGAUGGACGCACCGCUGGUGUACCAGUUGUUCUGCCAAGGGCAUAGCUGGGUAGCUAUGUGCGGAAGGGAUAAGUGCUGAAAGCAUCUAAGCAUGAAGCCCCCCUCAAGAUGAGAUUUCCCAUAGCGUAAGCUAGUAAGAUCCCUGAAAGAUGAUCAGGUUGAUAGGUUCGAGGUGGAAGCAUGGUGACAUGUGGAGCUGACGAAUACUAAUAGAUCGAGGACUUAACCAU